GACGAAGAUGAACAUUGCUUUGAAUUUCUGACACCUCUUGUAUGAGAAAUUUGAGUCGAAAGACUCUUUUUUCUUUGAGCACAGAUAGCAACACUCUGAGUC